ensembl:lncRNA
UCAGCUGUUGAGGAAGUGGUUCUUCUCACUGCCAUUUCUACUUUGCUGUUCAUGGUGAAAGAAGUAUGGAACCCAUAAUUUUUACUGCUUUCAAUGGGGUCAUUCAGCAUAAAACAUCUCCUACUAUUCGUUGAAGGCUGUGCUGCCUCUGUGCAGAGGGUACAGGAAUUAUAAAGCCUUUGGAGAGAGCAGAAAAGGGCAAAGCAAGCGAAGAUGUUUCCCAAGGAUUGUAAUCUGUCUUGGCCAGAAAUCGUCAGCUGUGUCUACACAACAUGUAGAACAAGAGGGACUUGGUAUACAUCUUCAGUGGCUUCAACUUUACACCUGCAAGUUACUGUCUACAUGAGGUACCUUCAACUCUGUUGCAAGAAUUUGUUAGUGUUCUCCAAUUUCAUAGUGGAAAACUUGCUCUGAAUGUACUUGACACCUAAAUAUCAUUCAGUCCUUGGGGAUUAUCAGAUGAUGACUGUUUGCAUAUUGUUUGGACAACAUGCUACAUAGUAAAUGAACUAAAAAAUUGAUAUUCAGUAGAAUCCACAAGGCAGGGCAGAUGGAUUGUUAAAGGGGUUGGACUGUACAUAUGUGCUUCAGUCUCUGCUGUCAGUAACUGCUUUAAUGUGCCACUUACGGAGUGGCUGCUGAUUAAAAUAUCUCUAAUGUUAUUCCAGGGAUUUUUUUUGUCCAGGUUUUUUUUGUUGUUGUUGUCAAAAGACAUAAAACAAAACACUUCUGCACCCAACCAAAAACAUUUGGAAGGCUAUUCUAACGUGUUCACUGGGACUCAGUCCCCUAAAGCGAGGUGUUGUCUGCCUAUUCUGUAUAUUCACACUCAGAAUCGUGGGGUGAGACAGGAGAUGUCUGAUAUCAAGCUGCUGGUCUGUCUUUUCCCUAGCCAAAAAAACUAGUGGUAGGGGAAAAAUCUGCUCUUGAGGACUGGUGAUUUGAGGAUCCUGUGAUUAAAAGUUGUAAUUUGUACAGGAGAAAAGAUUAAUUAGGAGAUGUGCUUGAGCAGCUAAAAAGCAAGACAGACUUUCCGUGAAGUGGGUGAGAUGACAACAGCUUGUGCCUGGCCCUUGGAAAAGAAGUCUAUGGGUUGCCAUGCUCUUUGUGUGGCUGGUCUACAAACAGCAUAUAUCCAGGCACUGUUGUACUAUGGAGAUGAUCUGAAUUUUUUAAAAAUAAAACUGUUGUUUUCU